CCAUUUCUGUGGGUUUCCGGGGGCCACCCCCUCCCAUUCAGCUUUUUCCUCAAUGGGAGGAGGGGUCGGUGCAGGGCAGACUCCGCCCCCUGGGCUCUCCGCAGCCCCUGUUCGCGCAGGGCCUCAGUUUACCUUUGCUUCACUUGGCCUGGCCAGCAGCCCUUCAGACCGCAGCUGCCUUCGGCCGGGCACCUCCUCCUGGUCCCUGCCCUCCAGAUGCGCACGGACAACCCGGGGACAAGGCUUCAGGGGCAAGACUCACCUCAGGGCAGGUGGCAGAAGCGGAGUGGGAUCGGAAAGAGCCGGCUGUGACAGCGCCAGGGUCAGCGGUGAGCGGCCGGACAAGAAGUCACUGACCUGUAGAGAGUGACCUAUCAGUGCCAGGGCUCCAGCCUGCUGCGCCCCCAGCCCGGCCCCGGCCCCGGCCCCCCGCGCCGCGUGACCUGGGGCCUCUCGCCGCCCCUCUCUGGGUUCUGGGGUCCCUGCCGGUGCCACGGAUGCUUAAAUAAAAUGAAUCGGUAUUUCCGGAA